ACAAUUGCUAUAACGGAAAAAAAAUUGCUUUUACAGUAAACUGGUUUUUUUAAACGAGUAGGCCGAUGUGUCAGCGUGUUUUUGAAGGAAACAUUUUAUAACCUACUGUCGGAGGUUAGCAUUCUUCGGUUGAAGGGAGAGAGAGCUACCCUCUCAUCUGCCGGAUAAAAUUGAGCUUUUCUCUUUGUAACCUCUUCUAUGAAAUUUAAAGGUCUUCAAUUUCCUUUAGUGGUUCAGAUGUCCGAAUUGGAAGGUUACCAAUAUGUGCAAUUACAGAGAAUCUUCGUAAGUGAUUUUAAGCAGAGAAGGAACUAAUAUAGCGAUUUUUCAAUUGAAAUAAUACUUCUCUUCACCAAGUUCAUAAAAAUAAAAACAGCCGUAAUAAAUAGCAGCUGAAAUGCAGAUGACGUUGUUUAUGGGAAUAAAGUUCUCUCCAUUCAUUAUUGUACUCUGUGGGGAAAGUGAAAAUUAUUAGGAACCAGGAGUGUGCUUAGAAACUUCUAAAAAUUGUGAAGUUUUAAACUUUUAGAUGGUCCUGCUCGCAGUGUUAUGUGUUAAGUGACCUAUUCGCUAAUUCAACAUUAAGUUUUUUUCUAGCAAAUGGCCAGUUUGUGUUGAAAUACCGAGUAUACAACUUAGCAUCUCUAACAAUUUAUGUUUGGAAACACUAAAAACGAAAUGUGUUUCAUUGAAAAGUGCACAACGCUGUAGCACUGGGGUAAAUUCAUUAUUAAAGAAAAUUGUGCAUUAGAGGAAUAGUUAAUAAAUUACUCUAACCGCCAUAAACCUAAAAUUUAUCGUGAAAGUUUAACAACUAUCUAGGUAGCUUCUAUCUGUAGGUUAUUAACUUUUCAACUUAAACAGGAGCUCAGAGAGAGGGUGCAUCUCUCUCACAACAUAUAAAGUCGUAAUUGAAUAUUAAAAAAUAACCAGUGCAGAUUUGUAAGUGGAUUAUAAAUAAGUUAUUUGUUUCACGGCGCAGUUUAUUACUCAGGACCCACCUCCAGCAUGGCGUGUUUAGUGUACCUACUUUAAAUUGAUAUUAAAUUGUGCGAGAGACGUUGGAGCUUUUUUCUUCGUCGAAGCUUUCGCUGUCAAACAAAAAAGUAAGAAUGGCAUUCCGCCGUUAUCAAGUGUCUUGAAAGAGAGGGCGCUCCCGUCGGGGAUUACAUUGCCGUUCCAAUUAAGGAGCACGGCUGUCUCUGUCACCGUCCCAUGUAAAACCAGUACUCUAAUAGGGCGCACGGAUAUUGAAAAGACAAUUCCUGUUACGGCCCACUUGAAUACUAAGUUGUACACGAGAAGAGCAUUCACGGUCUGAAUAUGUGCAUAUUUUGAGACGCUUUGGCCAUUCCGGAAUUUUUUAUGUCUACUCGUAUACAGUGAUCUUCAUAUUAAAUGUUAUUAUUCUAUAAACACGAGUAGAGGUAGUACACCUUUAUUCUAAGUAGUUACUAUAAACACUAUGGUAUAUUAUUUGAUUUAGUUAUUUGUUUAUCUUACUCGAUAGAAUA